rnacentral:ncRNA from 2 species
AAGUCCUGCUGGGGGUGCCCGCGCCGGAGUCAGCCGACGGCUCGGAGGCGGUGCUGAGAGAGUCCCUUGGAACCUGAUCCGGGUAAUACCGGCGGAGGGAAGCUGGGCGGAGGUCGC